GAUACGGUCGCGAAGCUACUUCGUAGUGAACAUACGGGUAUAUCCUGCAAACUAUGGGGAAAGUCUCCGUGCUGCCAAUGCCGAAAGGGCACAAGGGAAAUCCAUAGCGGUUGCGGCGUCCGUCUUUUCGCAUGACGAAUGCUGCUGCCUUUUUCGCCGUUUGGUUUCGCCAAGCAUCCGAAAGUCAAUGUAGCUGGCGCUUUGCGCUCACCCAAUGGAGCUUAUCUGCGCACCGUAU
rnacentral:RNase_MRP_RNA from 1 species